GGUGGUUCUCGGGUGAUGCACCUCAGAAUCGGCUCCCUCCUCUCUGGUUCCAGGUAGUCACCCCAGAACAGUG
rfam:Myotis davidii contig29960, whole genome shotgun sequence.